rnacentral:lncRNA from 1 species
GCGCUCGUGCCCUCAUCCUCAGGUGGUACUCCAGUCAAUCGUGCAGAUCGACGAGUUCCUCUCAUCCUGUUUUCUGAAAAACAUUACACAUCACAUAAACAUUAGCAUCAUAUGGUUCAUGUGGGCACACAUGAACCCGCAUCACAUAUAUCACAUAUCAUUAAUGCACAUGCAUAUAAUCAUGGCAUUUCACAUCAUCAUGCAAGACAGGACUCCACAUCCUAUCCUAGUGGACAUGAUCUUCCUAUUGUGCUUGACCUUCUAUAACGUCUAUGAGCCCGACACUCUAGGUCCGACCAUAUGAACCUAGGGCUCUGAUACCAUUCUGUAACGACCCGAAAAUCGGAC